CCUGUAGAGCCCAAGUCUGGGCAGCUGCUGGCCUCUCCAUAAGGGGACAGCACUCUGUGAUUCGGGGAACGGUGUGAAUCUGCCCAUUGCGUACAUCGGCAGCAAGCUGUGUUUGAGAAGCUCAUUUAUGACCCAGACUGGUGGAAGUCUUUGCCUGGCAUAACGGAGUGACAGAGACCCUGGGUCUGACGGGCAGGGCUGGCCUUCUCCAUCCCGGCUCCUGGCUAAGGAUGGCUGCUGGCCAGCCCCGGUGUCGGUGCCAGUUCAGCAUCUCCCCAGCAUACUCCCUGUGGACACCAUGUUCUCCCGCAAGAUACGGGGAAUUCUUUGCCGAGAGCCUCUGAUAGGCCAGAUGCUGAGGUACAGCUGUGAGUCAAGACGGUCCUGGCCCUCCCCUGGCAUCCAGCUCACAGAGACACUUGAUUUUGGCAUUGCAGCAAUUCCGAAACUUUUUAUUUUAUACAAAGAUCCCGAAUUCCAUCUCAUGAUUUCCUGACUGUGCUGGAGCUUGAACCGAGCUCACCUUCUCCUACUGCCCUGUGGCUCUAGCCCUCUCUUUUCUUUCUUUUUGAAAACGGGUAUGUGAGUUUACACCUUCUCGCUCCUCAGAGGUUCACGUGGCUGACCCCAGGAGCCUCCUUCUCACAAGCUCUCCCACCAGCCUCUGACUCACCCCUCCCCAGCCGCUUCAGGACAGCUCAGUGUUGGAAGUCCUUUCCAGAGGAAGCCCACGGAUUCCCUCCGGGAGCCUCUCCUGCCCACACCACUCUUCCCAGAACUUCAUGGGUUUUUGAAAUGGAAUGGGAGAAAAGCUGAUUGAGUGGAAAGGUAGAAACCUCCUGGUUCCCUCAUAAAUGAUUACGGAUGGAUUAUCUCCAAUGCUGAGCCUGGGACGCCCAGAGAAGCCACUCAGUCUCCGUGCCCCUGGAGACAGACCUGUUGCCAAUUGCCCAGCAGGCUUCGAAGUUAAAAUGGAAGAAGGCUCACAGCCUUGCAGGCGCAAAGCAUGGAUUCCCCACCCUCUUCACUGCUUAGAGAGCAUCCUGAGGUCACUGGUGGCCUCCACUUAGCAUUUUCCUCUCAUCUUUGUCUCUUCUAUUGGACAUUCCCUUGCUGGCUUAGGUCCAGCUCUCUGUUGGACCCAGGCACACUUCCUUCAGACUUCAAUCCAUUUUUCUUGGAUCUCCUGGAUUAGGCUAGGAUAGUUGUCUCUUGUAAUCUGUCUCUGCACAGGUGAGUGUCUUUUCAGAAAUAAGGUUAUAGAGCAUGUUAGGGCAAAUCCAGAGUACGAAGUAGAGGGACCAGGAUGUAUUCUAAAAAAGGUGGGCACAGGUAAGCCGAGGCUGCUCCCAGAAAGGAGGAACUCCCGGGAAUUGUGAGAGAGGACCUGGCAAUUCCUCUAAAGAGCAUUGUGAUCCAGGCCUUGUGGAAUCUGUGUCAACCAGCACCCCACCCUUCUGCCUCCUCUCUGCUCCCAAAGCCUGCCCAUGUAUGGCCUGCGUUUACAAAGUUCACACCUAACUAACACCUUCAGAGAACAGCCAUGGAUACAGUCUGUGUUCAUGGGUUCUGUAUCCACAGACUCGACAAACCAGACACUGGAAAUAUUUAGGGGAAACUACAAUUAAUUUUAACAUUAUUCUUACCCUGUAACUAAUCUAGCAGAGAAAGUGUUUAUACAACACACACGUUACCCAGAGAGGACAUAAAGUGUACAGGAGGAUGUACAAGCCCUGGGCAAACACCACACGCAGGACCCAGCCUUCUGCCCUGGGACCGUCCCCAGCACAUACAGAAGUAUGGCAGUUUAAAGUAUCAUUACCUACACUUUCCCCUGACUUUGUAGUUGGGAGGGGGGGGGCAGAGCUCAUGCAUGCCUUGAUGCAGGUGCAAGGGCCAGAAGUCAGAAUGUCUCCUCCCAUUAUGUUGGUCAGUGGGAUUGAUCUCAGGUCAUCAGGCUUGGUGGCAAGUACCUUUACUGGCAGAGCCUUCUUGCCAGUUCUAUUGGCUCUCCUUUUGAGGUGAAGAGAUGCUACCUGGGACAGGCUACCUGGGACACAUCCCCCCUUAGCAUGAAUGACAUCUUUGUUGACUGGUGUUGGCCCUUCUCUCCUUGGGAAGCAGUUCUGACCCUAGGAUGAACUCCAGGCUCCCUCUAGCAACACCUUCUCCUCUGCCCAGCACUUAGGGGCAAGAGCUACACUUGAAGGUGACAGGUCCCAGCAACAGAAUCCUAGGCCUCUAGCCACAUUCUCUAAGCCUCUCUCUCAUGUCAGAAGACCAGCAAUGGGCUGAGGUAACCCAGGACAAUCUUAAGGUUCCCCCAACUAGCAGCUGUAACCUUACCUUGGGCUUCCUAUGUCAGGUAGCAAACCUAUUCCCUGGGUCAGAUUAGGACAUCCAGAGCUGUCCUGUCCAGGAGUGAAAAGUUUUGGGUUUUGUUUGUUUGUUUGUUUGUUUGUUUGUUUUGUGCAAAAGAGCAUAGCCACAGUUCAGACAGGGUGGGUUGAGGAGGUCACCCUCACAGAGAAAAAGUGUGGAAUGUACUCAUGUUCCCCAGAGGUCAGAGGUCAGCUGAGAAUGACUGGCAGUGGUGGCACUCCCCUGUGUGCUGGGGAAGCCAUUUAAGAUGCAGGUUGAAGGAUAGUGGGCUCAGGUCAGCUUGAGAUGGGAAGGUUAGUUGGGGAAUAAAUCACACUAAAAUUGUGUGUGCACUUUUAUGGCUUCAGAUUCAUCCUUGCUGUGUACAGUUACCAAAGAGCUGAGCUUUUUAAAAUAUUUAUUUUAAAAAAUUUUAUGUGUAUGAGUGUUUUGACUGCAUGUAUGUACGUAUACACGUGUACUUGCAGUGCCCACAAGGCCAGAAGAGGACAUAAGAUCCCCUGGAACUGGAGUUAAAGACCAUUGUUAGCCACCAUGUAUGUUUUGGGGAUUGAACUCAGGUCCUCUGGAAGGGCAGCCAGUGCUCUUAACUGCUGAGAUAAC